UACGGAGGAUGCAAGCGUUAUCCGGAAUGAUUGGGCGUAAAGCGUCCGCAGGUGGCUGUGUAAGUCUGCUGUCAAAGAGCGAAGCUCAACUUCGUAAAGGCAGUGGAAACUACACGGCUAGAGUGCGUUCGGGGCAGAGGGAAUUCCUGGUGUAGCAGUGAAAUGCGUAGAGAUCAUGAGGAAGACCAGUGGCGAAGGCGGGUCUCUGGACAGUUCCUGACACUGAGGCACGAAGGCCAGGGGAGCAAACGGG
rnacentral:rRNA from 1 species